AUACGUAGGGGACGAGCGUUGUCCGGAAUUACUGGGCGUAAAGGGCGCGCAGGCGGAUAUUUAAGUCAGCUGUAAAAGGCAUGAGCUCAACUCAUGUAUGCGGUUGAAACUGGGUAUCUAGAGUGCUGGAGAGGUAGGCGGAAUUCCCGGUGUAGCGGUGAAAAGCGUAGAUAUCGGGAAGAACACCGGUGGCGAAGGCGGCUUACUGGCCAGCAACUGACGCUGAGGCGCGAAAGCCAGGGGAGCGAACGAGAUUAGAUACCCCGGUAGUCCUGGCCGUAAACGAUGAAUGCUAGGUGUGGGUGUCGAGAGGCAUCCGUGCCGGAGUUAACGCGAUAAGCAUUCCGCCUGGGGAGUACGAUCGCAAGAUUGAAACUCAAAUGAAUUGACGGGG
rnacentral:rRNA from 1 species